GGUGAAGAUUCUUCCACAUUGACUUCUGAGAUGGUGAUCGGUUGCAAACAGUGCUAGGCCAUCAGCACAACAUGCACUGACUCAAUGCAGUGUUAAUAUGUGAACCAUACAGCCAGUUAGCUGUAGGUUUAAAAAAUGUGUGGUUAGAGAACUGGAAAUUGAUGAUACAAUAUCGUUUUUGUCCUAAACUUACCCAAAAAUAGUAUUAUAUGUUGAUGAUACUGUUUAUCAUUAUUACAGUUUACAAUUUAAGUGGAAAUAAAUGCAUAGUUAUGAUAUAUUGAUUGAAACAUUGAUAAAAAUGGCUGAUUUGGGGUUAGCUGUUUGAGAGAUUUAAAAACAAAUGUAUCUUCUUGCCUCAAAAUGAUAUGAGUCACUAAAAAACGUUGGAAUUCCCAUCACAAUUUUUUUUUACCUGGUUAUGUUACGACCAUGUAAAAUGACCUCAUUUUUAUAAGUUCCUUCAGGUUGUUUGUUGCAGAGACAUUAAGUGAACAGUGAACUGACCGUCUUUUGUGUCUCUCCUCGUCUGCUCUGCUAAAAAUACACAUCAACUCUAUUUUUGACUGGGGCCAUGUCCAGCACACAUCAGACUGAACAGAGCAGAUUGACCCGGGCAGGAAGUCAGACACAGGCAGAGAGCAUCAAGUCAAUAUAACACCAUCUACAGACUUGCAUGCAAAAACAAGGAAACAACUUGGCUUUAACUAUCAGCUAUUAUCAAGUAGGAUAAUUGUAAACAUCAAAUUCACUCACCCUCGUCGCUGACGCACUCAGUAUUCUGGUAGACUUUGGUGUGCAGCUCCAAGUCAGUUAGAAAUCUUUGCUCAGCCCUUUGUGUCAUCUUUAUGCCUCAUUUAUGGUGUCCAUAGACCUGGAAAUAAAAGGAUAAUUCCUUUAGAGUCAAAUGAAAGGACAUGCACUCUUCACAUAUAGAUAGAAAUCACAGAAUCUACCUGUGGCUUUUGAGAAGAAGCAAGUGUCUUUUCUGAUAAUCCAUAAAACUCAACAUUUUGAGGGUAGAUUACAGACUGAAAUGUUCCAGUUUAUUCACCUUUAUGCUCAUACUUAAAGUGAAAGAGGAAUAAAGAAGUUUUUAUCUCCAAAAAUGGAUCAUAAACAGCUCAAAGACUGACACAUAAGAGAUCAGACACUCUAACAUCUUAAAUAUCUGUUAUUUUCCUUCCCCCCCUGAAAGAACUUAAUGUGCAGAACUCACCGCACAUCAUCUGGGAGUUUUCCUUUACCAUCUUGCUGCCAUUUAAAGGACACUUCAGUGGGGAUUGAUGGAAAGAAAUAUAAAAAUAGUCUCAUUAAAAUUCUAAUUAGCUGUGCAGUAAAGUCAUAUUAAGAAGACCUGAAACGCUCUCACAGCUCUACAUGGUGUUAGUCAAAGCGCCGUUUUGUCCUUGAGCAGUUUUUAAUGGACUUUUCGAAACUAUCAGAGCUGAUGAGAGGUGGAAAUGCAAAAGAGCUGAAUAUAAGAAGAACAUAGUGGUUCUCUAUAACUGGGGAAAUAUAAAGGGAGGUCACAGCAUUCAGGAGUAUUACAAGGUCUGUAAAUCAUAGUCUUAGAAGCAUCGAAAGGGUAAAAAUAAAACAGUAAACAUGUCUUAUUUUACAGAAGAUUAAAAAAGGCCAUGACUAUUAUCUGCAUGCUGAGAAAAACAAAUAAAACAAGAGUUCAAUAAAUCACAGACUUUAACUUUUUUUUUUUUUACUGCAUAAGGGCGUCAAAGUUAAUAUUUUUUUGCCUUUUUUAAAUAGGGCUUCAAAUAGGGUGACCAUAUGUCCUCUUUUACCCGGACAUGUCCUCAUUUUUGGGGGGCUGUCCGGCUUUGUCUAGCUUUGUCCAGGGAAGUUUAUAAGAUCCUUCAAUUCUCUGUGGUUUUGAACGUUAGUUUCGAUUUUGUGUCACAUGGGCUUACUGAGUUAGAAGCAUGUAAAAGACACUCGAUAAGACUCAAAAAAACUCUCAAAAUUAACUUUGUGCGACUUUGUGACUCGGCCCCCGCGUAGUCAUGUUAUGUUUUUGGGAAGUCAGAAUAUGGUCACCCUACUUCAAGUUAAAGUCCUUCUCAGAGCCCCCUCAUACCAAAUCUAAAAAGUUAUCACACACUAUUUAGGAAAGAUUUAACAAAGCACUAGCAAUCAAGAUAUAAACACAGUCACAAUCAUAAUUCUAUAAGCUCUGCUCAAAUUAAUGCCACGUUUUAUUUAUAAGUUUAUUAUAGUGUCACGGGUUUGUUCAGGACAAAAAAAUGGUACUCGCACAAUCGAAACUCCAAUGUGAUGUUUUUUUAUUCACACCAACUCUCCAAAAACAGCAAACAGUGGCAAAAAUAUUUAGAGUGCAGGACACAAAACAAAACAGAAAAACCCCAUACAAAUAAAUUAUGUACUUACAGCAGGUUUUCAGAAGGACUUUCACUCGUUCAUUCAUAACCAUAGUCUGUAUAUACUAUGGGCAACUUGGUUCCGCCUUCCACAAGUAUACGGAUUUGAAGUGAUGACGCUCGGCUCAAACAGCAUAUCCCCCGGGUGAGCUACGCAAUCUUCGUACGCCCAUAGGCUGUAUCAAGUGUCAAUCAUAGAAAACAUGAACCCCCUAAUAACUUUCAAAAAUGGAGCUGCACAGAAAAAAAGAGGACUUAAGCACAAACCAGUCUUACAAUGACUACAUGACAACAUCAGUCUAUAAAGUCUAUGCUCGUAACCCACGUUGCCACUAGGCCAAGAGUUCUUCUCAGAGUGAGCAAAGCCCUCUUUAAAUACCCCUUAGCCCCUCCCCUGGGCACAUCCAUAAACAAAUUAUAGUCGUUUAAGAUACAAUAUUUAAAAUACAACUCAUAAUUCAUCAAUAAAUCUGACAUUGCAACAUGGACAAAAGGGGCACUAAUAGCCCUCCAUACAUCUGACCGUACUCAUUGAAAACAUGGUAAAUCAGACACAAUAUCACAAAUGAGCUAUAAUGGUAUAAUCCGACGAACACAUGACCCCCCCAAAAGCGCGCCACCUUGCGCUAUUACUGAGGAACCAGGAAGUGCCCCGGUUUGGCUCUGAAGAUGGCGGCAGGUAAGUGGGCGUGUGUGCGUGGCGUGUUGUCGAGUGUGUACCUUCAAACGCUUUGACAGGGGAGAAAAGAGUUUAGAUGAAAAAGGAAACGGUCAGUUGGAGUGCAGAACUGCGGUGUACAGGUGUGGGGAAACAGUUACACAGUUUGAUGUUGUUUGGCCUCGCGGGGAAAGAGCGCGCUCUUUGCGCACUCCCGGCACGAGGAGGCCACGAGGAGAAACCCGCGCCAGUCGGGGAAUGACGCGGCGUUUACUGGCGCUCCGUCGCAUAUGGUUGUAAAUGUCUCAGCAUCAUAGGAAUCAAUGGUUAACUAGUUAUCUCAUAUGAGAGUCGGUAUCAUUGGAGUCCUGUCAUUGGAUUUCUACAUUCAAGUGUUAGUUUUUGUGCUAGCUCCAAAAAUAAGUCUAUUAAUAUCUUAUAAAGUCAAGUUAAAUUAUUCACUAUUGUUUUUGGAGUGUGAAAAGUUGUUAAUUAAGCUGUUGGCCUCGUGCCUGUAGAGGGUUCAGCAGCCUUUGGAGCAGAUAGAGAGGAGCAAGAAGUGUGAGAGGAUGAGGGAAGAGAAGAAGAGAGCAGGAAACAUGAAGGUCUCUCUGAUAAUAGUGAGAAGGAUGAUGGUUGGAGGUCAGAAAGGGUGAAGAAGAAAGAGAAAGCAGAGUUUGAGUGAGUUGCUAUUCAAAGAGAAUAAAUACGGAGCAUUUUAGUCUCUGUUUUGGAGUGUUUUAGAAUACACAGCCUCAGUCAUGAAGAGCCUACCUGCUGCUGAAGAGAGCAGAGACAAUACCAGAAGGGUCUUACCUGUGCUAAAGAGAAAAAAGAGUUGGAUUGUUGCUCAGUGGUCCAAGGUUCGCCCUUAAAAUCUUUCAAAAUACACCAUUAAGAAGGUUAAAUUAGUUUCUGCUGCCAUCAGUGAAUCUUUUAAAAAUCUUUCAGGGAUAAAUCACGGAAGAUUUAUUCUAACUCUUUUUAGAAACAGCUUAACUUUUUAAUGUCUACCAUGAAAAAUAUGGUCGGAUUGAUAAAAUGGGAGACAUAUGCCCAAAAAUGUGACAAACAAAAAGAGAAACAAAGACAUACAGAAAGAAAGGCUGUGUAAUAAGCUAUUGAAAUGGGGUUUUGAAUGUGGUUCACCAGCUGUAGAAACAGAGCAUUUAACUGCAGAGCUGAAGUGGUGGUUUGUGCCGCUAUGAAGUCUGACACCUGUUUCCUGCUGUGAGUGAAAUGCACUACUUACCGAACCCAACACUCGUAAUCACGGUGCACCUUUCAGUUUUCUGGAAGAAAAGAAACAUCAACAACACUUUUGCAGAUCAAACAAGGACAGAAAGAGCAAACAGGGGACAAGAAGCACAACUACCAAUGGGAUGAUGCAGCUUAGGUCAGCGAAAAUAACUAGGAGAAACAACAAAUUCUGUGAUAAAGGGGGAUGAAAUACACACAGUUUUUUACUACAAAAGCUGGGAUGUUUUGUAUACUGCAAAAAGAAACAGAGUAUGAUAAUUUGCAAAAUAUUUUAAACCCAUUUCUACCUUAAAAGAGCACCAAAACCUUUCAUUUAUGAAAAAUGGGAAAAAUGCAGGUCAGUAGAUUGUAAGUGCAGAUGCAUUUUCACCAAAGGGUCUAGCUAGGAACAGUAUGGCACUGGUCAGUAUGCAAUAUUUGGGUUUCCUAAGGUAUCCAAAUAACCAACCUGUAGCAUCCCACUUUUUGCGUAACCACCCUCUCACUGUAAUAAAAAUAAUAAUAACUUUAUUUUUAUAGCACUUUUAAAAACAGACGUUUACAAAGUGCUUUGACAACAGUUUAGAGAACAGAACAUCAGCACAUGAAAGUAAAAACAAAUAAAAACAAAAGCUCAGUUAAAAACAAGGCCUCUGAAUUGAAGGCCAGUUUCAUUUUUCAUAAGAAACCCAGGCAAUACAAGAACCCUACAACAUAAGAUGAGACCAUGAGGACCAAAAUAAAAACGUAAAAUAGGUAAGAAAAAGAAUGAAAUAGAAAAGGAGGGCAGAAAGCAGGAAACGGGAUAUUAAUAAUGAUAAUACAAUAACAAAAUAAUAAUGAUGGUAAUAUUAAUGAUAAAAUGUAAUAAUAAAAAUGGACACGAAAAAAACAAAACAAAAGGAAAAGAUUAUAAGUAAAACAAAGGCUAAAAGGAUAGUAAGUCGAAAUAAGAUGGAGGUAAAAGAAAAAGGAGAAAAAAUGUACUUUACUGUACUUUAUUCUUUACGUGUAACAACUGAAACCCAAAUCAGACCAAUCAGGAUUAUCGCAGCAAAACCUCAGGAUGGUUUGAAUUGUGUGAAGAUAGACUAUAAAUGUAGCUUUUCAUCUUUACAGGAAAGAAUAAUUGUAAUUAUAAUAAUUUUAAUGAUAAUAAUGACUUUAUCUAUAUUGCACCUUUAAAAACAGCUGUUUACAAAGUGCGUUAACAGAUGAAACAGAAGAAGAAACAUACAAAGGAAAAUCAGGAAGAUUGAAAAAAAAAAAAGGUGGACAGAGGACGGUUAAAAGAGAAAGCAAGAGAAAUAAAAAAUAAGACAGUAAAAUAAGAGUAAUAAUGAAAAGGGAGGGAGUAUAUUAAAACAUGGGAAAAUGGUAAAAACAGGACUAAAAAUGAUAAGAUACCGGUGAGGAGAUUAAAAACAACAGGAAUAAAAAUAGUUAAAAAGUAAUUGUAAGAUACGUAUGCAGAUAAAAUAGAAUAAUAUAGAUAACUAACAUGGUUAAACAAGAGGUAUGUAGGCAAUAAAAUAAAUAAAUCAUGCAUCAUGUAAAAGUAAGUCCAAGAAAGUGAAUUUUGAAAUGUGAUUUAAAAGAGUGGAUCAGUUUUUAUGUUAGACCAAGCAAAGCACAAGAUGUCAGCUCACAUUAACAUAUGUAAUCACCCUGCCUUAGUCUAUAAAAACUCAAGAAAUCUGUUCAAACUGAAGCGCGAGCUGAAGAGGAGCUUAUCUCCCCUGAAUAUAAACAGGAUGUGUAUCAUUGAGCCACUUCCUAGAACAGGCAGAGAUGUUCAUAUCCACUCUCAGAAAAGCCUUUUUGGCUGUCAGCAAACCAAACACGGGGCUCUGCUGGGUCUAGAGGAGGCUCUGAGGCCCUCUAAAAAUCCCAUUAAACAAGAGCACACUAAAGGGUGAAGUCUGUCUGAUAGCUCAAAGCCAGCUUCUUCCACUUGCAGGAUGUUGUUGUAUGAUCGUUGGUGUAAGAUCCUAAAUACUGGAGGUGAAGUUGAGGCCAGGGCUGCAGACAUCAAAAAGCCAGGUUGUUACGCUGAAUGCAUACAGUAUAGUUAAACCUGAUUUAGCUGGCAGUGCAGCAAAAUGCAGAUUUGUCUGUCACAUCAUGUUGUUGCUUCCAGUUUUUGGUUACCAAUGGUUACCAAUACUAAGGCUGCAACAUAUGGUAAUGUAGCCAAGAGAUAACACCUAUUUUUUUAGAUAUUCAUACUUUUAACACAUGCACAGGUUUACAGACCUGCAAAUUAUCACCGAGAACACACAGAAAACACACAGAGGUCAAAAAGUAAAAACUAGCAUGUGGAUAAAUCCCUCCUCAGACGAUUAAGCCAGAUAGCACAGAGAAAUUAAAAUAGUUUAAAACACCAAUUUAAACCCACAGAAGCAACAAAAUCAUACCCAGAGUCAUGCAAACACCAAAAAUAUUAUAAUGCAUGCACACAAGUCAAAGAAGGGCAUUGAAAUGCAAUCAGACCAAGACGCUAAGGCAGAAGAACUGCCGCGUCUGCAGUGCAAAAUGAUUAAUAUGGUGAUUAUUACUUCAAGGAAGUGAUAAAGAAAUGAUUAUAAAUGUUCUUCCUUGAGCUGUGUCACCCCGCAGCAGUCCAUAAUGGGUUGGCCCGAGGUCUCGCUACAAACAAGGGGCUGCUGGAAGAGGGUAGGUGAGUUGUGUUGCCAAGAAAUUAGGCAAAGUUAAAAAGAUGUUUGAUGGCUAGUGCUAUGGCGGGGACUCUAUACUGUUGAUGAAAUUAGAUGCUGUUCUGGGCAUUAUUUGUGGCUAUAGAGUGGCGCUUUGGUUGAGGUUUGUGUGUGGUUCCAUAGACUGCUGUGCAUUGCUAUUGUGUGGUAGUUGGUGAGGUUGGUAUAGAAUGAGAAGCAAGCAGUUGGCAGCAUUCAUCUCUCAAGUGGGUGUCUAACUUGGUGUUACGGUGUGUUUGACCCUAAAUUAGUUUUGCGCUGGAAUAUCCCUUUAACUGGUCAACCCCAUUAGAGUAUCUCCCAAAGUUUACGAAAACAAAACUGUUGCACUUAAGGAUCGUUUUAUGCCAACCUUGGUCUUGUUUGCUUUUGUCUUAGUCACACAGAGGCAUCAUUACAAGUUCUGUUUGUUUCAAAGUCAAUUAAAUAAAGGAGUCAACUUCCAUAGAAAGGCCGACUCUGACUGCUGGUUCCACCUUAAUAAACCUCCUGAAUGACAGUUUGCUUUUUCUAAGAUUGUCCUCGACCACCAUCUCAAAUAGACUUGGUGGUUGAUGAACCAAUGACAUUUAAGUUUGUAUCAUAGUUCUUGUUUGUCCCUCUCAAUUCAUGAAUUCAUCUCUUAAACCAGCUUUACUGGUUUCUUGUUUCUUCAUCCCACAAGUACAUGUAACAACCCGCCUCCAUACAGCCUCCUCAGUUUAUUUGUACUUUUUGGUGGUUAUUUUGAGGUUGAACUUGAAACUCUUGACUGCUAUUUAGAUGCAUUUCAAAACAGGUGAUGUGAACUUUAUCCACCUCUUAUUGUUUACAUGUUUCACCACAGAGUUGGGCAAAAGAACUGAGAGCUGCUGAUAGGGUUACAUGAAACGCAUCUAAAAUAGAUUGCAUUUGUGAUGACUGACCUUCAGAGGCUGGCAGGAGGGGGGUUAUGUUUUGACAGUGAAAGUCAAGA
rnacentral:lncRNA from 1 species